rnacentral:rRNA from 1 species
GAUGAACGCUAGCGGCAGGCUUAAUACAUGCAAGUCGAGGGGCAGCAGGACUGUAGCAAUACAGUUGCUGGCGACCGGCAAACGGGUGCGGAACACGUACGCAACCUUCCUUUAAGUGAGGGAUAGCCCAGGGAAACUUGGAUUAAUACCUCGUAAUAUUUGAGAGUGGCAUCACUUUCUAAUUAUAGCUCCGGCGCUUAAAGAUGGGCGUGCGACUGAUUAGGGAGUUGGCGGGGUAACGGCCCACCAAGCCUGCGAUCAGUAACUGGUGUGAGAGCACGACCAGUCGCACGGGCACUGAGACACGGGCCCGACUCCUACGGGAGGCAGCAGUAAGGAAUAUUGGUCAAUGGACGCAAGUCUGAACCAGCCAUGCCGCGUGGAGGAUGAAGGUCCUCUGGAUUGUAAACUUCUUUUAUCUGGGAAGAAACCCAUAUUUUCUAGUGUGGUUGACGGUACCAGAUGAAUAAGCACCGGCUAACUCCGUGCCAGCCGCCGCAGUAAAAC